AUCAGUUUCCUCCAGCCCAUCGAGACAAGAUUGCUGAAAAGAAAUGACAGCGCUGAGCCAUGUCUUAACAUCACCGACACGGUCUGCAUCAGUGUGCAUAUCAGGGUCCCCAACAGUGGACUGAGAUGCAUGAAGCGAGUCAAUAGCAGACUGCAAUAAGUCCUUGCAAUCAUCAACAGACAUUUGGAUGGUGGUAUUAUCAGCAGCCUCCACUCGAAGGUUGUGGAAAGAGUAGAUUGGCAUUCCUUUGGAUAAUCAGUUCCCGAACAAAUGCCUGCGACUGCCUUCAUCUUUGGGGACAGAGUCUGCAUCUCAGCUGCCGUGUCAUUUCUCUUGUUAACGACUGCAACGACGGCAAGAGCUACACCGACGACGAGAAUAAAGGAUACACCCGAAACGACCACCUUCCCGAUCAUGUUAUUAAGUUGUUUGUUGUCACCUCCUGUUUAUACAGAAAGGGUUUCUUCUGCAAAUGGGUGAUCAAAACCCAGAUUGAAUUAAGCUCUUUUCCACCAGAAAGAUGGGAAAGAGAUAAAUGGUGGGUUUUGAGCAGAAAGAUUUGUGGUUUUUUUUCGUUUUUUUUGGGGGGGUUGAGUAAUAGUGGAUGGAGGAGGUGAUGAGGAAAUGGUUGGUAUGGGGAAGAUUAUGUAGCGAUGAACUGCUUAAAAUAGGGGCUGUUUUUUAGGAUUAGAUGUCCAAAUUGUUUAUUUUUAGUGUUUUUGACUGAGAUA